rnacentral:rRNA from 1 species
UACAGAGGGUGCGAGCGUUAAUCGGAAUUACUGGGCGUAAAGGGUGAGUAGGCGGUAUAGUAAGUUAGAUGUUAAAUACUUGGGCUUAACCUGAGUCUGCAUUUAAUACUGCUAUACUAGAGUAUUAUAGAGGAGAGCGGAACUCCACAUGUAGCAGUGGAAUGCGUAGAUAUGUGGAAGAACAUCAAUGGCGAAGGCAGCUCUCUGGGUACAUACUGACGCUGAGUCACGAAAGCGUGGGGAGCAAACAGG